AUGGAUAAAAUUUUUCUUUAUAGGGAGGAGGCAUUUUACACACAUCACCAAAAAUCCAGUUUUCAAUUAAAGAAAGAAAGAAAGAAAGAAGGAAAAAGGAUUCACUCUGAACUCUUCAACAAGACCUGCCAGGUCCAGUGGCUGUGGGCUGUCCAGCAGGGAAGUGGAGAUGAAGAAGAGGUGACAGUGAGCAGCAUGAGCUCCUCCAGUGCUGUGAGAAACAUCCAGGUCUGCUCUGGGAGCAGCUGCCAGCCUGUGUCCAGAAGGUGUGAUUGAAGUCUGACUCCAUGGCAAAGAGAGGCAACAAGAGCAGCCAUGGGGACAGGAGGAGCUAGGGGGAUGCUUGAGGACCAAACACAGAAGAUGCUCUAGGUAUGCAAGAUGAAGCCUAAUCAAAAUGAAUGAAUUAUUUUUAUUUCUUUAACCAAUUGUACAAUCACAUUUUAAUUAAAAUAAUUUUAAAGUGUUUUUUGUUUGUUUGUUUGUUUUGUUUUGUUUUGUUUUUUCCCGGUAAUUCUGCUAACAUAUAUUACUCAAGCAGCUAUCAAAAAUAAGCAAAGGGGAUGGAAUGACUUUUAUUUUCUAUAAGGCUUUUAGUGACAGCAAAUUAAGAUAUAUGUAUACAUGUAAGGAUUAUAGGUAUAAAGACAUCACUGAUUUAUAGAAAGGUGUAUCUAAGUGAGGGUUUGCUUGCUUGCUUGUUUGUUUAUUUGUUUUCCCCUCACUGCAUUUCACUAGUUUUUGGUGCUGUAAAGACGUGCUUGCAUGUAAAGAUUUUUGCAGUUCAUGGAAACUUUUGUUGAAAAAUAAACGCAAGACCUAAUACA
rnacentral:lncRNA from 1 species